GUUGUUGUUGUGUUUUCCUAGGCGGUGGUCAACGGGUCAGACAGCCAGGCCGUCCUACAGCUGGUGGACCUGGUGGCCGGUCAGUAUCUGUUCCAGCUGACCGUGGAGGACGCUGAGGGACUGACCAGCUCCGACACCGCCACCGUGCUCAUCAAGAAAAACUCUCACCAUAUGGACUUUGUGGAGCUGAUUCUUGACGCGGACAUAGAGGCCUUCACCCUGGCUAACAAGGAGAGCCUGGAGGACCAGCUAGAGCUGUUGUUGCAGCGCGGGUCGGAGGACCGGGACACUCUGGUGGACUUUGUCCUAGUGAAGGAGGACCAUAGCAC